CCCUUUCGGGGGUACACGAGCGGCGAACGGGUGAGUAACACGUGGGUGACCUGCCCUCAGCUCUGGGAUAAGCCUGGGAAACCGGGUCUAAUACCGGAUAUGACCUCCUGUCGCAUGGCGGGUGGUGGAAAGUUUUUUCGGCUGAGGAUGGGCCCGCGGCCUAUCAGCUUGUUGGUGGGGUGAUGGCCUACCAAGGCGACGACGGGUAGCCGGCCUGAGAGGGCGACCGGCCACACUGGGACUGAGACACGGCCCAGACUCCUACGGGAGGCAGCAGUGGGGAAUAUUGCGCAAUGGGCGGAAGCCUGACGCAGCGACGCCGCGUGGGGGAUGACGGCCUUCGGGUUGUAAACCUCUUUCGCCAUCGACGAAGCCCUUCGGGGUGACGGUAGGUGGAGAAGAAGCACCGGCCAACUACGUGCCAGCAGCCGCGGUAAUACGUAGGGUGCGAGCGUUGUCCGGAAUUAUUGGGCGUAAAGAGCUCGUAGGCGGUGUGUCGCGUCGGUCGUGAAAACUUGGGGCUUAACCCUGAGCUUGCGGUCGAUACGGGCAUCACUUGAGUUCGGCAGGGGAGACUGGAAUUCCUGGUGUAGCGGUGAAAUGCGCAGAUAUCAGGAGGAACACCGGUGGCGAAGGCGGGUCUCUGGGCCGAUACUGACGCUGAGGAGCGAAAGCGUGGGGAGCGAACAGGAUUAGAUACCCUGGUAGUCCACGCC
rnacentral:rRNA from 1 species